rnacentral:rRNA from 1 species
GUGCCUCCCUUGGGAACACCCUUGGUUUCCAGACAACGUUGGGGCGGCUUGGCUUUCUUUUAUCCCGGCGACGUAAAACUCGCUUGGGCUAACAAGCGUCGGGCUAAACCAACGCAACAAAAAACCGGCGUGAAAUGCGCCAAGGAACAUGAAAGAGAGUGGGCUCUUCUGGUGUCAGUACUGCUGCGCCAGGACGGGCGUUGUCUUCUUGAUGAGUUUAUAAUGACUCUCGGCAACGGAUAUCUCGGCUCUUACAUCGAUGAAGAACGUAGCAAAAUGCGAUACUUGGUGUGAAUUGCAGAAUCCCGUGAACCAUCGAGUCUUUGAACGCAAGUUGCGCCCGAAUCCUUUUGGUCGAGGGCACGUCUGCCUGGGUGUAANGA